rnacentral:lncRNA from 10 species
GUGGGUAACUACAGUGUAUAAUUUGUGGUAGCGGGAGAUUGCGUUCGCACUUGCUGCUGGUUGUGGUAGUUGAAAUGCAAGUUUUGUUAGUUGUGUAUUAGCUUUUGCUUUUUUUUUUUUUUUUUUUUUUUUUUUUUGCCGUGGAAGGUUUGUUUCACUUUGUUUAUCUAGGCUGGAGUGCAGUGGCAUCCGAAUUCAUGCGCUCAGCCUUCUUUGGUUGUUUUAGGUUUUGCCUUAUUUAUUUUUUUGGGACACAGUCUUGCUCUAUUUUCCAGGCUGGAGUGCAGUGGAGCAAUCUCGGCUCACCGCAGCCUCCACCUCCCGAGUUCGAGCUAUUCUCGUGUCUCAGCUUCCCUAGAAACUGGGAUUACAUUACAGGCAUGCA